GUUGCCUUGGUCGAGUGGACUAAGGCGCCUUCAUAAUCCAGUUGAGGCUUGGGAAGGCGCAGGUUCGAUUCCUGCAGCUGCUA